UACAGAGGGUGCGAGCGUUAAUCGGAUUUACUGGGCGUAAAGCGAACGUAGGCGGCUUUUCAAGUCAGGGGUGAAAUCCCGGGGCUCAACCCCGGAACUGCCCUUGAAACUGGAAGGCUAGAAUCCUGGAGAGGUCAGUGGAAUUCCGAGUGUAGAGGUGAAAUUCGUAGAUAUUCGGAAGAAAAAAAGUGGCGAAGGCGACUGACUGGACAGGUAUUGACGCUGAGGUUCGAAAGCGUGCGGAGCAACCAGG
rnacentral:misc_RNA from 1 species